AUUUUCGUGCAUGUACGUGAAACACAGCUCGAGGGCUGUUGAUUUUUUUACGAUAGGUGGCGCUGUCGAGCCAUUUUGCCACACCCUCUUCUGAAACCUAUAUCAGACGUAAAUUUUCACCAGGUCUGACGCGUGUGCAAAGUUUCAGGACUUUUCGAGCAUGUUUAGGCCCUCAAAAAUGCGAUUCAUUUUGGAGAAGAAGAAGAAGAAGAAGAAGAAGAAGAAGAAGAAGAAGAAGAAGAAGAAGAAUAAUAAUAAUAAACGAAGCAGAUACAAGAGGGUCCUCACACCAUCGGUGCUCGGGCCCUAAUUAAAGCUGCAAGCAGCGAUGAACGGGCCCUCGCACCCGGGCUCACCACCACCGGGUGGCUUUUGUAAAACAGCGAACGGCGAGAAAUAUGCGUUUAAUGUGGUAAAUAUAAGAGGAAUAUGUCAAAGUCAUUUAUAUGUGCCAAUCUUCCUGCUGCCAGCUGGUGGCGCUAUGACUAUAACUGAAUAUGGGCAUGUCAAUCUGUUCAGGUCAUGAGUCUUAUCAAACAUGUGAAGUUUGUGGCAGAUUGGACAUUGUAUGUCUGAGUUAUAGCAACUUCAUUUUUCAUGGCGAAUCAUCGAAAUUCG
ensembl:lncRNA